CUGCGAAGGUGGCCUGUGAGGGUUGCUGGAGGUAUCAGAAGUGCGAAUGCUGACAUAAGUAACGAUAAAGCGGGUGAAAAGCCCGCUCGCCGGAAGACCAAGGGUUCCUGUCCAACGUUAAUCGGGGCAGGGUGAGUCGACCCCUAAGGCGAGGCCGAAAGGCGUAGUCGAUGGGAAACGGGUUAAUAUUCCCGUACUUGGUGUUACUGCGAAGGGGGGACGGAGAAGGCUAUGUUGGCCGGGCGACGGUUGUCCCGGUUUAAGCGUGUAGGUGUGUGUUCCAGGUAAAUCCGGUUCACUUUAACACUGAGGCGUGACGACGAGGCACUACGGUGCUGAAGCAACAAAUGCCCUGCUUCCAGGAAAAGCCUCUAAGCAUCAGGUAACAUCAAAUCGUACCCCAAACCGACACAGGUGGUCAGGUAGAGAAUACCAAGGCGCUUGAGAGAACUCGGGUGAAGGAACUAGGCAAAAUGGUGCCGUAACU
rnacentral:rRNA from 1 species